rnacentral:rRNA from 1 species
CCCUUAGAUGUUCGGGGCCGCACGCGCGCUACACUGAAGGACUCAGCGUGUCUCUCCCCCUAUCCCGAAAGGGAUGGGCAACCCGUUGAACCUCCUUCGUGCUAGGGAUUGGGGUUUGCAAUUAUCCCCCAUGAACGAGGAAUUCCCAGUAAGCGCGAGUCGUCAGCUCGCGUUGAUUACGUCCCUGCCCUUUGUACACACCGCCCGUCGCUACUACCGAUUGGAUGGUUUAGUGAGACCCUCGGAUCGGUCCCGACUCGGGGUGGGCUUCUGCCCCGGUCGUGGUUUCGCCGAGAAGACGGUCAAACUUGACUAUCUAGAGGAAGUAAGAGUCGUAACA